AGUGUUGAGCUCAGGCUGGAUAAGGACUCAGAGUUGCACUGAGUGUGGCAGAGACGACCUGGUAGGAACGCGCUCAAGCAGAAAGGCAGACAGAGAGUCGGACGGACGGACUCGGUCAACCUGGACGGCCGCGGACUCCGGGCUGCUCAUCUGUUUGUCUUCAUUUUCUCACCGACUCCUUGGAUCCAGCGCCCGCGGUUCCAGCAUCGGUGUUUUGGGGAGCACUUGGAGAGUCCCUUCUCCCGCCUUCCCCGGAGAAGACGCUCCCAAGUCCCGGCGCGGCUGACAGCUUCGAGAGCGGCGCCUGCCCGCGCGAGGAAAUAGGCGAGCGGCUACGCCGGCCAGCAACUUUCCUGACCCAGAAGACCGGGAACAAGUGGCCCGGAGCGAACUUUUGCAAACCUUUGCUGCGCCUUAGGCUGCCACCGAGACCGUAAAAGAAAAGGGAGAAGAGGAACCUACACUCAGCCAGGCUCGCACAGGCUGCUGAAGUUGGGCGAGCGCUAGCCGCGGCCGCCGAGCGUCCCCCUCCCCCUCGCCGCGGAGGAGGGGACAGUUGUCGGAGUCCGGGGCGGCGGAGCCCGAUUGCGGGCUUCCACCGAGAGUUCCCUGACGACUGGUUCGCGCCGCCGGAGAGUCGCUGGAGCUGGUCCGCAGUCCCCGAGGAACCGCUGCCAUCCGAGAGCGCUCGGUGAAAGAAUGACUCAGCAAUUCUGACCAAGUUCAAAACAUUGAGCCAGUGCUGACUUCCAGACCUGAGGAUCCAAGGAUCUACCUUGUCCUCGCUGCUAGAACACCUGCUGUAGAUGAAGAGAGACUCUCCAAAGAUGAAAAAAGUGAGUCUCAGAGUGCUGAUGAACUUCCUCCGGUGAUACAACUAGCAAGUGUUGCAAGCAAGACUGAAUCUGGGCUUCCCUUUUGAAACGUCUCAAAGACCUACUAAGACCAACACAGAAUUCUCCUGGACUCUCUCAUCCUCCUGGGAACCUCAGCUUGCUGGAAAAGAGGAAGAAUGGAUUAGAGAUUCUGACUGAGGCAUAGCUGGAAGUCGGGACCGUCUGGACUCUGUGUCUGAGGAAUCGCAGCCAUGGGAAAUGACCACAGCCCUGCAUACUGGGAGACCUAGGAGCUAGCCAGAGCUCAGUACCUCAUCUGUGGUGUGACCUUGAGUAAAUUCCUUAUUUCUCAAUUCCAGUGUCGUCAUGACGGGUUUGCCUCAAAACAUUUGGGUCACAAACCUUUAGCUCUGAGGUCUAGGCGUCUAAACCGGUGAGCAGGCAUAGACAAACCCUGUCAAAACUGGUGUGAACUAGCUGAAUCCCGGAAGCUGUUGUUAUGAGGGCUGGAAGACUCGGCACUGUGAGGACUUUUGGGUUGUUUUUCUGAAGGAUUGAUUGCUAUUAAAUCUAUGUUUUUAUCUGCUAUCUUGGCCCAGUGGUAAUAAUAGUAAUAAAUGUGUUUGUGAUGAAAUAAACAA